rnacentral:rRNA from 1 species
UACGGGGGGGGCAAGCGUUGUUCGGAAUUACUGGGCGUAAAGAGCUCGUAGGCGGUUUGUCGCGUCUGCUGUGAAAACUCGGGGCUUAACCCCGGGCCUGCAGUGGGUACGGGCAGACUAGAGUGCGGUAGGGGAGACUGGAAUUCCUGGUGUAGCGGUGAAAUGCGCAGAUAUCAGGAGGAACACCGGUGGCGAAGGCGGGUCUCUGGGCCGAAACUGACGCUGAGGAGCGAAAGCGUGGGGAGCGAACAGG